UGAAUUUUGAGUUUGGUCGUAUAUUUUGUUUACCUUGCAGAUUCAAGACGAGAAAUUGUACCCACUGGCUGAACAGCUUGAGCCAGAAUUAGGAGGGAAGGUGACAGGGAUGCUGGGUGAAGCAAUGGAAGCUCUGCAAGGAAGGAAAGUGGAAGAGGCCAGCGAUACUGUUGACCUCGCGUCGGUACCAUCAUCCUCGACCUCGAGUGUUACCAGAGAUGCUAUUGACCCCGCUUCCACAACAUCGUCCUCGAGUGCUUCCGCUGACAGUGCUAACCUUGCUCCGGCACCGUCAUCCUCGAGUGCUUGAAUGCUGGUUCCUAAUAUCUCUAUCUCGACUUGAAAUUUAGAUGGUUGGAUAAUGUUUAAGAAGAUUCCUGAUUUGAUGUUGCUUCAUGAUAUUUUCGGUCAGAGUUUUAUUCUUGUUUGUUUGUUCUUAAGUUAAAGUGCAUCUGCAUUUCCCCCAGUAUUUAGGAUAACUUCAAAUAAAAAAUUAGACAGUGUCUUCUUCCUUUGGCAGGGAUCCUAGUUUACGUCCAAUAUAAGGACAAGAUAACAGUUUAACGGUAUCUGUUAAACAAUUCAUGAUGGCCUCGCCAAAAAAACGUGCAAAUAGCUUCAGCCUCUAAAUCAGCUAAAUUGAUGCUAAACAAGGGCUAAAUGGCGCUAAAACUGCCAAGUAGUAUAUGGAGAUGUCAUUUACAUGGACAAGUAGCAUUUGCUUUUCUCUUCUACAACUAUAUCUCCUAAUCUUUUGUAAGUUUAUAUAUUACUAAUGUUCAACUCAUCUACCCUGGGAAAAGGCCCUAUCCUCAAUGACACAAUGAAAAUCCUAGCCCCCUCGCCGCCGUACAACACCCCAGGGUGUAUGGUGUACCACAAGCUUGUGCCAAAUGGUCAAUGUGCCAGUGGGGUUGCCUCAGGUGAAGGCGGUGGGGGCGUGAACAUGUGCAGUGGGAUGCUAGGGAGGUGAGCGACCACAGGAAAGUUUAGAGUACUGUGAACAUCUCACAGAUUGCUAGAUGUUUCAUGUGAUGUAGUAGUACAUAUAUACAUUCAAAAUUGUCGAUAGAUGCAUGGAAGAAACUAGUUAAGAAUUCUGAGGCAUACAAUGUGGAAUCGGUAAGCUUCAGUUCUACAACUUCAAAUGACAAAAAUAAUGACCCUUAAUUUUUUUGGAAAUACUAAAGCUGUGGAAUGUAUAUAUGCUACUCAUGAUGAAACCUUUUCUAUACAGUAAAUAUCGAAGAUUAAAGUGUUUUUUCAUCACUUCAUUGCACGCUCAAUGAAGUCGUUGCAGUAGAUCUUGAGCUCCUCGCAGCGGUGUAGCAAUGCCAGCUCCAGAGUGCUCAUCGCGUUGUCUUUCAACACGAGAUGAGCGAGCAAAUUCUUGCACAUGGCCUUCAUCCUCUCCAGGCGGAACCAGCAUGCCGCCGCCAGCAUUUCUCUGGCUACCACCAUUUCAUUCACAGGAACCAGCUCGUCGGUAUAGACAAAGUGGAGUACGGCCUUGAGCACGACGGCCUUCAUAUCGCCGAUCCGUACGACACUGUUGGUUGUCGACACCACUAAUGUUUCGUAUAGAAGCAGCGACUGCAUGGCGAUGAUGAGCCAGUGCGCGUGAAUCUCGCUCUCCUGGACCAGGAACGCCACGUCUGACCAUUGCUUGCUCACCAUCAGCUACUCGAGGUGCCUACAAUGUUGGACGGCAGCACGAUGAUCAUAGGUUUGGCGAUGGUGGUGCUAGUACUAGUAGUGCACGCCUUCGUGUGGACUUCAAGGUCGCAACGUAUGGUAAAGGAACCAUUGUGGCCUAUGUAUCGGGACUUUGCAGCAUUCACCAUGAUGAACUUUUGAAACCCCCUAGUAAAAAUAUAUUCAACAAAGCACAAUCGACAGUGAUUUGCCACUAGGGUCACCGGUCCGGAACGUCUUGGACAACUUGACCCUAGCAGUUCCAGGAUCAGACCAUAAACGGAGGUAGACGGAUAUGUGCUCCCCACCCUCCUCCGCCGAGUACCCAGACGGGUACACAUUGACUGUCCAAUCGUAACCGCCUAUGUUGAAUAUGACUGAAGUGAUUACUUGGCCAACACCAUGGCUCCUUUGCACUGAGCUAAAGUUGUGGAUAUUAAACUCGUGCAUGCCGUGGUGUUGUUGGUCGAUGGAUACCGGAGGAGGAGGAAGGAGAGCUAGUGUGUCGGGCCAUGUUGUGUGUGGCAACUCUCUCAUUGACCUCAAUUCUAAAAGAGCUGCAUGUUUCCUUGAGCUCCUCAUACUCCUUGGUCGCCUUCACCGCGUCGUACAUAUCAGGGCUAGAUGUUAUGUACUUGAUGCAGGAAUCCUUGAGCUGACAGCACCUUUGGCGGCCCCGCACUAGCAGCAAAGUCGUCAUGACAGUUGCCAGAUCGAUGCUCUCGCAUAGUAUGUUCUCGCACAUGAGCUCGACGCUUCAACGAAAAAAUAGCGUGCUAUAACGGCGCUAUAGUGCCGUUAUAGCAUAUUCAGAAGGAAACGCUAUAUUUUAGCAAAUUCAGCCGCUAUGACGUUAUUCACGUAAUUAGCGCGCUAUAGGGCGUUAUAACGUUGUUGCGUGUAGCGUUAUAGCGUCCAAAUGAUGAAAAAUAUUAGAAAAAUAGGGAAGCACAGGUUUAUUUUGUGGUUAUUGCACGAUAGAUGUAGGCUAGGUGUUCAGUGUUCAGAGUUGAUAUAUGUUAAAUAGAUUGACUACAGUUUGACAUUCAGUUUAAAAUGUGUGCUUCUUAUCUGGCUAGAUUAUGUCUCUCUAUAUUGGUGUCUUAAGGUACUGAAAUACUUUAUUUGUGGAUAUAUUUGGCAUUUUUUGCAAACGCUAUUUUUAAAUAUAGCAUGCUAUUAGCGCGCUAUAACUUGUGUAACAUUUUGAUAAGGGGCUCGCUAUAUUUUGUAGCGUGCUAUUUUUUUCGUUGGAUCAUACCGAUUAGCGGCCACAAGCAGCUUGUGUACCAUGACUUCACGGCCCCUCGCCAUGAAUUCCCUUUUGAAAUUAUUAUGACUGCUUCCUGAUUCCUCGCCGUUGUUUGGCUUGACGGGAAGCUCGUCAGUAUAGAUGAAUUGGAGCAUGACCCUGAAUGUGGAGGCUCGCAUGUCCUCGAUCCUGACACGUUGAGCGGUGCUCUCCCUCAUGUGACCAAAGAGCUCCGCGGCGAAGACCGGCAACCGCAUAGCAAGCACAAGCCUGUGGGCGCGGAACUUGGUAUCCUCGACGAGGAAGGUCACUUUUGAUGAGUGGGGGAUCUUUGCCGGACGUAGUAGAAGCUGCUGGAAAUCCGGGGGGAUGGUGGGCGCCGGCACCAUGGAGAUCAAGUACUUUGUUGGGGGAAUGGACCUCGGGCAGGCAACGGAACCCGGAUCCUUUACAAAAACAUCGGGGCCACCAACGCUCCUCAAUCCGGCUCGCCCUGGCCGGCUUCACAGCGUAACCCGGCCAGGUGUCGCAACCCGGUCUGCCGGCUGGCGCGUGCCAGCUGGUCCCAAGAAGCCAACCUCCAGCGACAAGUAAACAUGGCUACAACACUCCCUCCUUUGCGCCGGCCCCGACGGCCGCGGCACUCCUGCCGACCAAGCCACCGUCUGGAGGCGCAACCCUGUAGCGAGGCGGCGCUGCCGCCCCAUGACGCCCGGCACGGCAUUGCCAACAGUACCCAACAGCCAGCCGUACCCAGGCCGGAGGUCCCAGUACUGCCCGCACCCGAUGGACCCAGCGAGACCCGCGCCCGGCGGGCCCGACAGACUCGACGGCCCCCACAGCCGGCUCCUANNNNNNNNNNNNNNNNNNNNNNNNNNNNNNNNNNNNNNNNNNNNNNNNNNNNNNNNNNNNNNNNNNNNNNNNNNNNNNNNNNNNNNNNNNNNNNNNNNNNNNNNNNNNNNNNNNNNNNNNNNNNNNNNNNNNNNNNNNNNNNNNNNNNNNNNNNNNNNNNNNNNNNNNNNNNNNNNNNNNNNNNNNNNNNNNNNNNNNNNNNNNNNNNNNNNNNNNNNNNNNNNNNNNNNNNNNNNNNNNNNNNNNNNNNNNNNNNNNNNNNNNNNNNNNNNNNNNNNNNNNNNNNNNNNNNNNNNNNNNNNNNNNNNNNNNNNNNNNNNUGCAGAAGGUCGAUCGUUCAUCAGUAGAACACACUCACACGGAGAAGGAGCAGCCUAUGCACUAGCCUGCAUUCCUUCCUCCCAAAAACAGCAGCAGGAGCAAGCUUGUAUCCACCUCAUAUAAACCACACUCGGCAGGACUAAGGGUGUUGUCUCUCCGGAGAACCCCAAAUCUGGGUACGUCUCGUGUCCCACACUUGCGCGUGCCAACCUCGCCUCUGGAGCCCACCGGUGUCCUUGUCCUGUCCCCCCUUUUAGCCAUCCCAUGGCAUCCCCCGUGAGACCACCACAACAGUUGGCGCCCACCGUGGGGCAGCUCGAGGCAUCGGCCGGAGUCACGUUCCAGACGGGGCCCUUCACCGACUGCGGCGUGCACGGUUUGGUCCCCGCGCCCAGCGCGGUGCCGGCCGGCCCCGCCGGCUCGUCCGUCGUCCCCUUUGGCGCGCCACGCAUCUCCGACACGCUCGCCUCCGACAAGUACCCCAGCGACGAGCUCGACGUCACCGACUCCCCCGUCCCCGUUGGCUGCGACAUCUCCGACGACGUGGCGGAUCUCUGCACCCACGUAGAGGUGCUCGUCACUAGCUUCGCCUCUACUUCAUCCAGCGUCGCGGCCAGGGCCGCAGCCCACUGGGCUAAUACGUGACCCGCUGCAGAACCUCAGCGUCCUUAUCACCACCGCCGCCAACACCACUGAGGCCAGGGUUCGGCUUGUGGAGGAGCGCGUGCGCCUGCUGGACGAGGCCACGGCGCUCGCUGCUACGCAGCGCCGGCUGGAGUACAUCCAGCGGGAGCACGACGCCGCGUACGGCUUCACGCCGGCAAUGGUCGAGCCUAGCCGGGUUGCUGGAUGACACCCCUUCAAGGUCAGUGACCUUGCUUGAGGAUCAAAAUUCACUUCACCAUUCUAGCUAGGUAUUAUAGUUUCGUGCUUGCAUCGCAGACUGCUAUCUAGUUCUGGACAUGCAAGCCAGUUGUUUCUAGUUUGUUUCUGUUUGGAUGUAUGGUUAAGUCCAUAUGUGUUAUUUCUGAAAAAAUGCUUGCGUCCUUUUUAUUUAUCUCAAUAGUUCGUUCAUGUUGCUGUGUGUGUGGAUGAAUCCUUUCCGGUUUCAUUGUCAUAUGUUGUGUAAUACUGUAGGAAUAAGUCUCUCAUGUUUCCAUCUGUCCUAAUAUUCCUCUUUAUUGUAUAUAUAAUCCUUAAUUUCAUCUUUACUUACAGGUUCUGAAACUGACUGUGCAUCCGUGAACAUGUGUGUGUUUGUUGGAUUGCAUUCUCAUCCUAGUAGUUUUUUUUGAGAAUCACCGCGGGGGGGUUCCCCACCUGAAUAUAUUACUCAAACGGCUGCAAAAGCAGCGAGUACAGAAUUACAGCGGCACGGUGCAGCAUGCAGAGAGGAAGGAACGCCACGAGAAGACGUCCUCCUUGUCACCCAUGUCGAGACGGUGUGACCAAAGGUCUAGGUCAGAGAUCAAGUUUCUAAUUGUUAUUAAAGAACGUUGAUCGAUUCUCCUAAACAUCAUGUCAUUACGCGCUGCCCAAAUCUUCCAGAGUAGAGCGAGGAGGACGAAGGACCAAGCAUUCUUGGGUAGGUGUUGAGGCAGCGGGGUGUCCCAAAGCUCAUUGAGAUCGUCAGACGAGGGCGGGAAGCCUACUCGUUGCCAAAUCCUAUUGGCAAGAGGACAUGUGAUGAAGAUGUGAGUGGAGUCUUCAGGUGAUGUAGCACAGUGAGGGCAUAGGUUGGAGGAGAUUAUAUGCUUAUGGGCUAGGUUCACUCCAGUGUGGAGGCGAUCUUUGAAAAGAAGCCAAGCAAAAAUCUUGAUCUUGCGAGGAGCCUUGGUGCCCCAGAUGAGGGGGGCAAUGAGAUCCGUGUCUGGCUUGGUCAUGAGUGUGCCGUAUGCUUGCUUGGUGGAGAAGUCAUGCCCUUGGAGUAGGAAUCGUUGAUCUUCCUCAGUCGAUGGCGUGAAGUCCUGCAAAACAGCCAAAAGCGAAGCAAGCUCUCGCUCUGCUGUUAGAGAGAUACGAUUACGGAGGUUGGCUUCGAUACCGAAGCGCAAAAUGUUAGCUACUUUAACUAGUUGUAGGAUGGAGUGCGAGAAGAGGCGCGGGAAGGUGGUAGCUAGGGGUUUUGGUGUGAGCCAUGUAUCCAUCCAGAAGUAUGUGUGUGUGCCACUGUUGGUGAGUACAAAGGUGAUUGGCUGGAGGGUUGGAAUCUGUUGGGUUAUCGUGCGGCACAAGAAGGAGGUUUGGGGGGUCGAAGAGACGAGGGCGUUUGGGUCUUGGAGAUCUAGCCAGUCUAGCCAAGGUGACUGAACGGAGGAGAGUGCUUUGACGGCAAACUUCAUUAGGAGGUAGUUGUUUUGAACGUGUAGGCUUUUGAGCCCUAAACCACCGAAUUUUUUUGGCGAGCAAACGUUUUUCCACACAAUCAGACACUGAGCACCCGAGCAGGCAUCUUCACCAGCCUAGAAAAAUGACCUCCUUGGAGAGUCGAUGACUUUGAGGGUCUUUUUUGGGAUACGGAAUACAUACAUGAAGUAUGUAAGGAGGGAGUCGAGGACCGCGGAUAUGAGGAUGAGUCGAUCGCCUUUGUCUAAAAGUUUUGCGCGCCAACCAUUUAGUAAUUUCCAAGAUCGGGCAAUCAAGUGAGCGAACGCAUUGGAGGGGGGGCUUGGUGGGGGCAAGGGGGAGUCCUAGGUAAGUUUGAGGGAAGGGUGCGCGCGAGCAUCCCAUGGCAAGAGCAGCAGCAUCAGCUAUGUUUUCAUCUGUGUGUAGGGUGGCCAUGGUAGUUUUGGAGAAGUUGAUGGUGAGUCUGGUAGCUUGCGCAAAGUUAUUUAGGAUUUUUUUGGGGGCUGUGGCAGCAAGGGGGGAGGCGGCUGCAAUAAUAAGUGUAUCAUCGGCGUAUUGGAGAGUUUGAUCUGCUGUGUCGAUGAAAAUCCACAGGAGGCUGCAAAAUGGUCGGGAGUUACCAUAGUUUUGUCUCCCUUAAUUAACUAAUCGCUGACUCAGUUUCAAUUGUUGACCCGCCCGCUGAGUUCAGCAUGAAGUUUUGGUUUGACGUUUUCAUUGCGGUGCUUGCAGAAUGAUGUCGUGACAGUACUGCACAAUUAAUUAAUAACGGCGAAAAACAUCACAGUGCUUUUCGUCGUGCCCACACGCUGUGGAGACGCCGGCAUGCUAGAGCUAUGAUGGUGAAGUUACUGGAUGUAGGACCUAUGGCAUACUAUGACUGUUGACUUGUUUCAGCGAGAACUUCAGUGAGAUUUUACCUUGCUCCAAUUAAUCAAUCAGAGAACUCAUGAUUCUACAUGUCACAACCCUACUUUGGUGUUUACAGAUUACAAAGAGAUUCCCCAAUCCGUAAAAGAAAAGGUGGAUGCCAAGCUGAAUAGCCGUGAGAUGUCUGGAGCUGGGAUUCUGAAAAGUAUGUGUAAGUUCUUCUGGCUUUCUCUCAAAUAUUAACUUCUUCGUAUGCGCGCGCUUAUGUAGAAACAACAAAUGCCUCAGAUAUCUACUAAAAGAUCAUGUGUUGAUGAUAUUUGAGCAAAGAAGUUUGUAAUUUCCCAAUCUACGUUACUACUAAUCCUAUUUUGAUGCAAUGCAUAUCUUCUAGAAUCCCUGUAGAUUUUAAGUUGAUCUAAAUAUUGUAUUAACUUAUCUGUACAGUUGAAUAUGGAGUUGCUAAGCGUCCUGUAGCGUAGAGACUAAUAUACCAUUUUGCCAAGAUAGUUACACUUCUUGUGGUAAAGUUUACUAUAUCAAUUUUGUACGAAAAUGUACCUUGUUUUACCAAAUUAUCUUGUUACUAACUUCUGCAUUGUUGCACUAAAAUUUGCCUUGCUACUGUUGUACUAAGGCAUAUUUCCUUCUGAUUUGAUGCGACCGAGCCUCUGCGGAUUCGAUGCGGCCGAGAAUCCCACUAGUGGUCAGCGCAAGGCCGGGCCACGAGCUCACCGGUGAGGGCUCCACCCUCGACUUCCUGUUCGACCGGUGGAGCAGAGCCCUCUCCCGCUAUCUCCUGUCGUGCGUCCGAGGGAGCCGCACUAUUGCUGCUCACGUCCUCAGGAGCAGUUACGCGCGUGUCCGUACUCCUCUGAAUUUUCUCUCCGUGGGCUGCAGCUUGGGUCAAUUGGGAAUGACAUUCGUCACUGAGCAUCCCAAUUUUAACUGCCAAUUUGGCUUUUCUUAACACGUGCAUGUCAAUUUAGCAGAAGCAAGUGUCUUGUGCAGUGCAGUUUGGUUAAUUUAACUUAUUACUGCAAUCGGUGGCUGCGAAGGCCUGUUCAUGUUCCUUCCCUGUAUUUAUUUAUACAAUACGCAGUUCAACAUUGUCAUAGAACAACCAAAUUGACUGUUAAAUUUAGUUUCAACAGAUAAAUCGGAAAUGACAGUAGAUGCAGUUCGGUUCAAGUAGGGAGUAGUGAUGCCCUAUUUUAGGGCAGCUAUUGGAGACGUCAAUUUGUUGUGCCCAAACAAUCCACUUUUUGGUGUCUAAAAUUUUACUCCAACCUCUUUUGAUGCUCUACAAUAGGGCACGAUUGGAGAUGAUGUAAGAAAGUUAUAAAAUGAAGCCCGUGGAAUAAAAGGAGAAUAUUUAAUUCAAAAGAAAUACUAAUGGAUUUGAGCAUCCAUUCGAGAUUUUUGUACACUACCAUAUCAAUGCAAAAUAAUACGAUAGGCUCGAGCAUCCCUCGGAGAUUUUAACACACCACCAUAUUAAUACAAAAUAAACACAAUAUGGAGUCGACAAUCCAUCUGCAAUUAUACUUUCACACAAUACCAUUUUUCAUUUCCAUAUAAUUUUCAAGUUUGUGAUCUUUUUGACAAUACAAAAUGCAUAUGAGGGCAAGUUCAAUGACUGGAACAAAGUUGUAUCCCCAAUAAUCGAAAGGAAUUUUGUACUCCCAUAUGUUUAAACUUGUUGUGUAAUCACAAUGAGUUUUUCUUUUGCACACCCCUCUAAAAGUUUACACGAAUCUUAAAGUUACUUGAAAAGGUUGUCGCUAUAUUAGCACGUAAAUCAAUUGUAUUGAAUAGAUUGAUUUGGAUACUACAAAAGGCUAUAUUGCCCCUUUUGAUCGAAAAGGGUAACUUUUAAUCUCCAUCUUUAAUCUGCAUCGAAAUUCGUAAAGUUUACUGCGGUAUACCAAAGCAAGUUCAAUUGCAAUUAUUUUUGGUAAAAAAAUACACUGAUGUUUCAGGAAAACCAUAUAUAUGAAUAUUAUUUACCAAUAUAUAUGAAUAUUCUUUAUUAAAGUUUGCAUACCAUCCUUAUUUAAUCAAAAUUAUACUGACAUGUAAUUACCGAAAAAGGCUUCUCGCCCCGCUUUAUAAAUAAAGCCAUGACUUGUUGUGUGCUGUCAACCCGUCUUGUGUUUGUGCCGAUUCUAUGGCUACAAAGUCCAACCACAUUCUUAGUUUGUAGUUUAGCUAUUUUGGGCCAGUCUACUCUUUGGCGCUUGAUUUAUGCUUUGCGAUUCAUGGUUUUUUCUCGCUGUUUUGUGAGUUGGUUUGGGUUGUUUCUUUUUGACUGACCGAAUAAUUGGUUCAGUGGAUUUGCAAGUAGGCUGAAGCCCAUAACUAUAUUUCCAAGCCCUCCUCUCUCUCUCUCUCUCUCUCUCUCUCUCUCUCUGGUUUUUCUUUAUGUGUUUCUCCUUUUUAUUAGUUGGUUUUCAUUUUCUCUUUUGUAGUUAUAUUUAGAAGGUUGCGAGAGUGUAAAUGUAUCCACAUAAGUACUAUGCAAUAUGUGCAAAAGUUACACUAUUAUAAGAUUGUUUUUUGCAUACUACAAAAUGUUGUGUGCAAGUUUUAUGUUUUAACUUUUUAUCAUUGUCUUUCUUCUUAAAAGAGUAAUACCAAUUGACACCUAUUUAUUGGUCCUUAUAAAACUUCAUUUUUAUUUCGAUUUAGUUGUUAUUUCAUUUUCAUUCUACUUUAAUGGCAAUACAAAUACCACUAAUUCAUUGCUUCUUACAAAUACCACUAUUAUAAGAUUUUUCUUGCAUAUUAUUGAAAACCCAAUUUAUGUGUAAAUUGUGUGGCAAAUUUUUCAUUAUUUGUUUUAUUAUUUUUAUUAGUUUUUUCUUAACAGGUAAUACUAUUGUCACUAAUUCACUCUUUCAUUAAAAAAUAAAACACAUGACAAUUUUAAUAAUUAUAUUUUUACAUCAUGGAAGGUAUGAAAAAAAUACACUUGUCUCGUGGUAAACUUUAAUUUUUGUAUCUUCUAAAUUGUGGGAAAAUGUUUUUGUACUAGUCACAUGGAAAGUUUAGAACAUUAUGUUUUCCAUGAAACGACAACUUCAAUCACAUGGAAAUCUUACUAAUUCUAUUUUAUAAAUCUUGGCUAUUAUUAAAAAAGGUACUUGACUGGGUUAUAUCUACGGGGUAGGUCCAGGUAUGUAUAGGCCUAGCCAAACACCCAGGCCCAUAAAAAAUAAGGUAAAAAAGAUAAUGAGCCAAAGGGAUAGCAUGUCGAGUCCAUCGUAGUUACAACCCAAGACAUCAAAGACAUUGGAAUCUUCGCUCAGUUACUAAGCGUGGCAUCUAUAUCUCGCAUUAAGCGAGACGAGAGGAAACACGUGUCUAAAGUGUCAGGCCGGCCUGUUACACGCGCGCAAUCUUAAAAAAGACAGAAGAAACGGGGGUACCCGGGAAUCGAUCCCUAGUCUCAAGGGUGUUGGCAGCACUCCUAGUCUCUCAGCUCUCGAGUACAUGUUAAAGUAGCUGGGCUUGCCCUACUUGAGGCAUAAAGAGCUGGGUUUCACUCGUUUUUCGGGUUUUUUGUUUUUCUUUUCUUUCUCUAUUUUCUUAUGUGUUAUUCGGUUUUCUUCCCUUUUUCGCCUUUUUGUUAUUUUUUCUUCUCCAUUUUUAUUUUUUCAUUCAUUUCUUCGGUUUUAAAUGCCUUUUCCCUUUUUUGUUUCUUUUUUUCUUCUCCAGGUUUUCUUUUUUAUUCUUUCUACACUUGUUUCUUCGGCUUUAUUUUUCCUAUUUCAGUCUUCAUUUUGUUGGUUUCCUAUGUUUCUUUUUUUAUUCUAUACUUUUUGUAUAUGUCAACAACAUUUUUCUAAUAGACGUUUAACAUUUUUUCAUAUGACUUUAACAUUUUGUAAUACAUGUUCAACAUUUCUUUAUACACACUUUAACAUUAUUGAAAUGAUAGAUCAACAUUUUUGAAAUACAAAGAUUAACUUUUUUUCCUAUGCACAUUUAACAUUUUUGAAAUGCUUGACUAAUAUUUUCGAAAUGCAAUAUUAACAUUAUUUGAAUACAUGGUCAACAUUUUUUCUAUAUACAUUUAACAUUUUCUAAAUGAUUGAUUAAAAUUUCUUAAAUGCAUGAUUAACUUUUUUAUAUACUUUAUCAAAAUGUUUCAUCAUUUUUUAAUACACGUCACAUUUUUUGUAUACAAAUUUAACAUUUUUCAAAUGGUUAACCAACAUUUUUGAAAUACUUUUUCAAAUGCUUGGUUACCAUUUUUAUAUACAUGAUAAAAAUCACCAUUUUUUAAUACAUGGUCAAAUUUUUUCUAUACUCAUUUUACUUUUUUCAAAUCCUUGAUCAACAUUUUUUCAAACGCUUGAAUAACAUUUUUAUAUGCAUGAGAAAAAAAUUCAUCAUUUUAACUGCAGGUUCAUGAGUUUUUCUAUAUAUUUUAGAAAAUCAAAUGUUUAAUCCACAUUUUUGAAAUGUUUGUUCAAAAAAUAUUUAAAUACUGGAUUAAUAUUUUUUAAAUAGAAGAUAAAAAUGUAUACACAUUUUUUUAAUACAUUUUCCGUAUACGUGAUAAACAUUUUCUUUAUACACAUUACCAUUUUUCAAAUGCUUGGUUAACAUUUUUUCAAAUGUAUUAAUAGCGUGUUUUUUUGUAAUUAAAGUAUAUAUAUGAUCAUAAUUAAAGUAUAAAUAAAAGUUAAAAAUAAAGCAAAAAAAAUACAGAAAACGUCAAAAAAUAGAAAAAAGAAGGCUGUGCCUUCUCGCGCUGCUGAGCCGGUCCAUCUGGGUCUCCUCUUCAGUGAGGGUUCCACACCUCUCGUUGAAGGCGAGAGAUAGGGGCGCCCGUUACCAAGUGUAUACAGUCGAACUCUACAAACAGCGCGUGUCUGAGUCUCAAACUUCAGCAACUCGGUUCACUCCUAAAAAAAAAAUCUGAAACCUCAUUGUUUAUUUAUAAUAAGUCAUGAACAUAGACAUAAAUAAUAACUUUUAUAAAUGCCUCUAAGGCAUAUUUCCUUCAGAUUUGAUGCAACCGAGCCUAUGCGGAUUCGAUGCGGCCGAGAAUCCCACUAGUGGUCAGCGCAAGGCCGGGCCACGAGCUCACCAGUGAGGGCUCCACCCUCGACUUCCUGUUCGACCGGUGGAGCAGAGCCCUCUCCCGCUAUCUCCUGUCGCGCGUCCGAGGAAGCCGCAGUGCUGCUGCUCGCGUCCUCAGGAGCAGUUACGCGCGUGUCCGUACUCCUCUGAAUUUUCUCUCUGUGGGCUGCAGCUUGGGUCAAUUGGAAAUGACAUUUGUCACUGCGCAUCCCAAUUUGAACUGUCAAUUUGGCUUUUCUUAAUGCGUGCAUGUCAAUUUAGCAGAAGAAAGUGUCUUGUGCAGUGCAGUUUGGUUAAUUUAACUUAUUACUGCAAUCGGUGGCUGCCAAGGCCCGUUCAUGUUCCUUCCCUGUAUUUGUUUAUACAAUACGCAGUUCAACAUUGUCAUAGAACGACCAAAUUGACUGUUAAAUUUAGUUUUAACAGAUAAAUUGGAAAUGACAGUAGAUGCAGUUCGGUUCAAGUAGGGAGCAGUGAUGCCCUAUUUUAGGGCAGCUAUUGGAGACGUCAAUUCGUUGUGCCCAAAAAAUUCAGUUUUUGGUGUCUAAAAUUUUACUCCAACCUCUUUUGAUGCUCUACAAUAGGGCACGAUUGGAGAUGAUGUAAGAAAGUUAUAAAAUGAAGCCCGUGGAAUAAAAGGAGGAUAUUUAAUGCAAAAUAAAUACUAAAGGAUUUGAGCAUCCAUUCGAGAUUUUUGUACACUACCAUAUCAAUGCAAAAUAAUACGAUAGGCUCGAGCAUCCCUCAGAGAUUUUAACACACCACCAUAUUAAUACAAAAUAAACACAAUAUGGAGUCGACAAUCCAUCUGCGAUUAUACUUUCACACAAUACCAUUUUUCAUUUCCAUAUAAUUUUCAAGUUUGUGAUCUUUUUGACAAUACAAAAUGCAUAUGAGGGCAAGUUCAAUGACUAGAACAAAGUUGUAUCCCCAAUAAUCGAAAGGAAUUCUGUACUCCCAUAUGUUUAAACUUGUUGUGUAGUCACAAUGAGUUUUUCUUUGGCACACCCCUCUAAAAGUUUACACGAAUCGUAAAGUUACUUGAAAAGGUUGUCGCUAUAUCAGCACGUAAAUCAGUUGUACUGAAUAGAUUGAUUUGGAUACUAAAAAAGGUUAUAUUACCCCUUUUGAUCGAAAAGGGUAACUUUUAAUCUCCAUCUUUAAUCCGCAUCGAAAUUCGUAAAGUUUUCUUCGGUAUACCAAAGCAAAGUUCAAUUGCAAUUAUUUUUGGUAAAAAAAUUACGCUAAUGUUUAGGAAAACCAUAUAUAUGAAUAUUAUUUAGCAAUAUAUAUGAAUAUUCUUUAUUAAAGUUUGCAUACCAUCCUUAUUUAAUCACAAUUAUACUGACAUGUAAUUACCGAAAAAGGCUUCUCGCCCCGCUUUAUAAAUAAAGCCAUGGCAGGAUACAAACACACCAAAAUGGAGGUCCACACACAGGAAACAAGUUUAACAAUAAGAAAGGGAAAAUAUACCCGUUGGGGGCAACAACAAAACAAGCCCGCAAAAGAACAUAGCAGGGUCCCAAGGCUGGUAGAUGACCAUAAGUAAUUCGGACGCAACCUCCUUAUGUUUCCUUGUGAGAUCGUCGAGGGUCGUCUUGUCCCGCCGCUUAGAGAGAGGUUUCCAUAGCUGAAAAAAUUCACACAAUUUGUAAAUUGCAUCGGUGGCCCCAUAUGGGUAUAUAUGUUCAAUGACAAGUUUAUUUCUAUCACACCGCAUGGUCCAAGCCAAGGUUCCAAAAUUCACCCGCAACCUUUUGUGGACCUGCCUCUAGCAAUUUGCCAUGAGUUGAUGCCAAUCAGGGAAGUUGGUUGGGUGCUAACUAUUGCCCCAAACCUCCCUAAAGCAACUCCACAUGAACUGGGCCGACACACAGUAGAAGAAAAUAUGGUUCAGGUCCUCGUCUACCCCACACAGCGGGCACUGCCAUUCCCAGGGCUGUUCUACCUGAGCACUUGGUCACCCAAGGGAAAUCUACCCCUAGUCAGCUACCACAAGAAUAUUUUGAUCCAAGGCAGCAGAUGCACCUUCCAAAGUUCAGUCAACUUGUCAUGCCCAAAUCCCGCCAUAAGGCGAUUAUAUAAUGACUUAGUUGAGAAGUUGUCCGAGGGCCCGAAUUUCCAUGAUGUGAUAUUCGGAGCUGCAGACAAGGUAACACUUGUCACACUGGAGGAGAGCGCUAACCAUUCGGUGGAUUCAAGGGGACCGAAAGAGCGACGGAAUGAGAGGUUCCUCCCCGCAUCCGCAACCGCCAAGGUCACCGAGAUAGAAGGUUGAUCUGGAAUGGCAAAGAGCACCGGGAACUGAACAAGGAGUGGUCGAUCUUCAAGCUAAACUAUUCAACCAAAAAUGGGUGUCCAUUCCUCUCUCGACCAUCACCAAAUCCCCAGACGGAGAACCGGUUUGAUAGACUAAAUGGCUUACCAAAAUUAUGAGCCUCUGGUCAUGGAGAAAAGAGCGAAAGACCGCCCCUUAAGAUAUUUGGAGAUCUCUCAUACCGACCAUCGAGUCACUAACCGAUUGACCAAGGUACCAAAUAGGGAAUGACCCUGGGAAGCAAUUUAGGAGGUUGGCAUGGAGGAUCGCUCCUGCUUAGAAUAACGCAGUACCAUCACGUCACUUUUGGCGAAAUAAAUCAUCAAACCCGACAUCUCUUUGAAGCAAAUAUGGAGGAACUUCAAAUUUAUUAUAUCCAUUGGAGUUCGCUCCACAUAAGGAUGGUGUCAUCCGCAUAUUGGAGGUGCGAGACUCCACCUACUGCAAUCAAGUGGGCCACCACCGCACAUAGAUGGCCAACACAUCUCACUGUAUACAUAAUGGCUGCUGAGCCAUCAACAACAAUAUUAAACAAGAACGGAGAGAGUUGGUCAUCUUGCCUCACCCCCUCUCGAGUGCUUAAAAAAUGGGUCUGUCUCCGUAUUAAUGUUGAUGGCAGUGUGCCCACUACUGACAAGCUGCAUAAUGCGGGUAACCCAUCUAUGGUUGAACCCUUUGCACUCAAGGGAAUCUUUGUAGAAAUCCCAACUAAGCGUAUCAUAAGCCUUAUUGAAAUCAAUCUUGAAAAAGACCGCCUUUUGACGUUUAGUCUUAACCUCGUGAAUGAUUUCAUGUAGUGCCAGUAGCCCAUCAUGAAUUAGAUCACCCUUAAUGAAGGCGACUGGUUUGGAUUGGUAAUUCGAGCUACUAUAGGUGCCGCCCCAAUGGCGUGCGCCUUGGCUAGGAUGCGGAAAAUCACGUUAAAAACCGUGAUCGGUCGGAACUGGCGAAUGUCCGUCGCCCCAACUACUUUGGAGAUCAACGUAACCACUUCAUUGUUAAGGCAGGAUGUGUCGAGCACCCCUUUAUAGAAAUCCUGGAAUAUAACCAUCGCCACCCUUUAACGACCUUCCAGAAUUUCAUAAAAAAUUCGGACAAGAAGCCCAGCCGGGCCCAGGGCAGAGUCGGGUUUCAUCGAGUUCAAUGGCGCUUCAACUUCAUCCACUGAAAAGGACUCCAUGAGCCUCAGACCCCCCUAGAGACCCUCAUCUCAAAGGGCCAUACAUCCUCCCGAAGGCUCACCCCAGCCAUUUGUUGACCGUUGAAAAGGUUUUCAUAUAAACCAUCAACGUGAGAGUGGAUCUCCACCUUGUCCCGAAGCAUCGUGGGACCAUCCCAAAGGACCACAUUUGAGGAUCGACGAUGACGGCUAUUGGCAAUAGCCUGGAAGUUCACCCGUAAAUGUCAAAUUUAAACGGCCUCGAAGACAACAGUAAAUCUCCUCGUUUCGGAAAAACGUCAUGAGGCUAUCCUCGAGAGCAUAUCUCUCCAUCCAUUCCUCCGGAUCCAGACCCACCGUGGUUGGCCAAUCAUCAAAGGACUGGAUGGCCACAAGGAGCUCUGCCUUGCGGAUCCUCAAGUCUCGCCCAGGUUGGACCCCUAACCCCGCAUCAAUUACCUCGAUAACUUGGUAAAGUGAUGCCAAGUGUAUAACACCGACAUCUAUCGGUUGGGGAGUCCAGCGCCUCGAACCACUACUUGACCGCCUUGGCAAAACCCGGCUGGCAUAGCUAGAACAAAUCGAAAUGAAACCGUGGCGGCGACCGAGGACUAGUUUCCCUGGAUGACAACAAGGGGACAUGAUUUGACCAGUGGCGGUGCCAACACCAGGAGGCUGUGCGUUCGAAUGCACUAAUCUUUUUGAAAUGUCUUAUUUUCUUGUAUAAAUAUGAAAAAAAUAAACUUGCAAUAAAAAAAUUAUGGGGGACCCAACCUUAGUCAGUAGUCACUGCUCGAAGAGCUGCUAGGGGAAACUUAUGUUCCCUUCAAAUGCAACACUCAUGAUCUUUGUCUAUUUUGCUCUUUGAAAUUUUUUGAACGCCAUCUUCAAAAUGCUGAGCUGACAACUUGACGCUCGAUCCAGUUUAGUAUCUCUCUCUCUUUUUUUGCUGGGAAUCCAGUUUAGUAUCUCAAACAUUAAAUGGUAGUGAUAUAUGGCCCUGGAAACUGAUCGAAUGAACUAAUUCCUAUAGUAGUAUAUGUGGACCCAAUCAAUCUCUAGUCUGCAGAUAUCUCCAUAAAAAAUACACUCGUCUUCUCGAGCACAAAAUUAAUGCCCAAUACUUAUCAUUAUACAAAGAAAGGAAGUAAUUAAUGCAUCAAUUAGUGAGAAGAGAGUCGAGAGCAUAUCCAUCCAAGAGCGUUCACCUAUAAAAGCACCCCUGCUCGAUGAAUCCAUCCUGUGCCUUCCGAGACUGUAUUCUGUUGCCUUGUGAGCCAGCACUCUUGCUCGAUCAAUCGAUCGAUCCUGUGCCCGGCCACUGGUUGGCAACCAUCUUAGGCAAUGGCAGGUCGCCCGUUGCUGGCCCCGGCCCUCACGCUGCAUCCUCCUGGACCAGCGUUGGGCUCGAGGGCCUCGCUAUACGUCGGCGACCUCGAUGAUGGCGUGGCGGAGGGGCACCUCUAUGCCCCGUUCUGCAAGGUGGCGCCCGUGGCGUCCCUCCGUAUAUGCCGGGACGUCAUUGGCAGGUCACUUGGGUACGCCUAUGUGAAUUUCUACAGUCGGGAGGAUGGUGAGUGUGUCUUCAUCUUUUUUUUGCGGGGUUGUCUUCGUCUGUUUACAUGUUCAUCUAAUCAGGCUUGGAUCGGGGAUACAAAGAACCUACGAGGUUGCGUGGUUAUAGAUCUGUUUGGUUAUGAAGUCUGUGAUUUACUAGAUUUCCCAUACAAGAUGUGGCACAACAUGGUUGAAGUUCUAUUUUGGCAUUUUCUUGUUCUGGUCAACUGAGGCAAGGGUCUUUUGAUGGAACGUGCGUAGACAGUGUGUUGACCUCCAGUUUGUAGAACAACGUGUCACUAACAUGAGGAGUGUUGGAAUCCGUAACCGAUUCGGGUUUGCGUAAACGGAUGCUAUCAGAAUCGGACUCGGAAUAGGAUAAAUGAUUGGCAAAAGCAAAUGGACACACACAAUGGUUGCAAUUAAACGUGUUUUGACCAAAAUACCAUAUAUUUCUGUCGUAAAAGAAAUUGACAUGUUCCUAUUAUUGGUGAUGUCUUUCUUAUUCAGGUCGUAACACUUGAGAAUUGAAUCACAAGUUGAAUUGAAGUUUGUUGUUAAGUUGGGUUGAUUGUUUUCAAAUUAGCCAACAUUAAUUGGUGUUUGUGUCUUAGUGAAAGGCUUCAUAGACUGCUUGUGUUUAUUAUGAACAAAAGAGAAUAGGAAUUUGGGCUAAAAUCCUGUUAAGAGUUCUCCAUAGAUUGUGCACCAUGGGGUAGAAAAUCGCCGUAGAUAAUAGUGUUGUCGGAAUCCGACUCAGAACCGGCUGUAUGAUUUGGGAAAAAUAAGUAGACACACACAAUUGUUCCAAUUAAUAUGUGUUUAUCUGUUCGCUGAGUUAUGCCGUAAACGAAAUGACAUGUUCUUAUUACUGGUUGUUGUCUAUCUUAUCUAUGGUGUAACAUUUGGGAGUUGAAUCGUUAGCGAGAGGAAUUGUAGUUUUUAUUAAAUUAGGUCACAUGAUUUGUUUUCAAGUCAGCCAAGAUUGAUCUUUGUUACCAAUGAGGGAAUGACUUCAUAGAUUGCAUUUGGCGAUUAGGAAGAGAAUGGAAUUUUGACUAAAUCUCGGUAGGACUUCUUUAUAGAUUGGGUUUAUGCACAUUCCAUAAAAAAACCAGGACCCUCGCUUCGAUAGAUCACAACAAGAAAUAUAACUUCAAGGCACUGUCGAUUAGGAAGAUAAUGGAAUCAGCAGUUUGUAGAACAUGUUGCCGAGCACUGACAUCAGUGUUAGAAUCCGUACCCGAUUCGGGUUUCGGAUAUGGCGAAAAAUCUUUGUGGAAACAAAUGCUAUCGGAAUACGACUCAGAGUCGGAUGUAUGAUUCGGAAAAGUCAAGUAGGCGCACACACCGGUUGUAAUUAAUGUUUUUUAAUCUACCUAUAUAUUUUUGUCACAAACUAAAUGUUCCCAUUAUUGUUGAUGUCUAUCUUACUUACGCCGUAAUACUUGGAUUGAAUCGUCAGCGAGAGGAAUUGUAGUUUUUUGUGAACUUUGGGUUGGUUCGUUUCAAAUUAGCUAACAUUAUUGGUUGAUUCCAUCCGAGUUUAUGGCUUCAUAGAUUUCUUCUGGUCAUUACGAAUUGAAAAGAAUAGAAUUUGGGUUAAGAUCCUAUUAAGGUUUCUGCGUAGAUUGUGCACCAUGGUGUAAAAUUUGAUGCGGAAAAUAAUGUUGCCGAAUAUGUCGGAAUCCGACUCAAAAUCGGACAUAUUAUUUUGAAAAAGCAAGUAGGCACUCACAAUUAUUAUUUUAAUUAAUGCAUUUUUUUACUUGCGGGAUUCUGUCAUAAACAAAAUGUUAUGUUCAUAUUAUCGGCGUCGUCUAUCUUACUUACGGUCUAACUUUUGGGAGUUGAAUUGGUUAGCGAGUGAAAAUUUAGCUCUUUGUUAAAUAAGGCCACACAGUUUAUUUAUAAGAUAGCCAAGAUUUGUAGAUUGCAGACGGGAAUUAAGAACAUAAGAGAAUGGAAGUAGAGCUUAAAUUUCCUUACGAUUUCAUUGUAGAUUGUGCAUCAUGCAUGGUGUAGAACGUCAUCGUGGAAGUUAACAUUGUCACAAUCCGACUCGGACUCGGAUGUGCAUAUGAUUAGGAAAAAACAAAUAGCUAGAAUUUGGUUACAAUUAAUGUGUGCCUAUGUUCUUAUUUCUUUCUAUCUAAACAAAAGGACAUGUUUAUGUUAUUGGUGUUGUCUAUCUUUUUUAUGGUGUAACAUUUGGGAGUUGACUUGGUUAGUGAGCGAUUUUUUUAAUGUUUAGUCGAUGCACUUUGUUUUCUAGUUUAACCAAUAUUCAUUGUUGUUUCCAUUGAUGCCUUCAUAAGUUGGUGUGGCAAUUUGGAAAAUAUAAACAAGAGGGAACUGAAUGUGGGUUAAAAGUUUGUUAACAAGUUUUCUAGUUUGUGCACCAUGGUGUUGAAACGUGCAACAUUACACUAGGUAGAUUGUAUGAUCACAAUGGCCACAUGGAUUUCAUAGUUAACCUAGUCAAAUUUUCAUCAGUUUAUUCAUACUCCACGUUGCCAAAUUAGUGAAGAGCGAAAUUGUACAUAGUUCAAAUUGGAUAUUAGCUUUGCAUAUCGGACAUCCGAUAAUUGUCCGUUUGAUGAACAUCCUGUCAUAUAUAAUACACCAUGUUGUAUCGUGGUCAAUUAUAUAUAUACAUACCAUACCUACACUAUUGUUUUCACCUUAACCUGAUUUCAUUUUCUUUGUAUUUGUAUGUUUGCUUGCCCUACUAGAGGAUUUGAGUUUAAUACUACAGUUACCUCUAAUAAUUUUGUAUGUGAUUGUUUUGCAGCCAAACGUGCAUUAGACUCUUUAAAUUUUACCCCUGCCAACGGGAAGCAUAUCCGAGUUAUGUUCUCGAAUAGGGACCCAACGCUGCGAUGGAGUGGAAAGGCCAAUAUAUUCAUAAAAAAUCUUGUGCCAAAUAUUGAUGGCAAGAGCUUGAGUGAUAUGUUUGGUCGCUAUGACACUAUACUAUCAUGCAAAGUGGCCACUCACUUUAACGGUCAAUCAAAAGGGUACGGAUUUGUUCAGUUUUCAGAGGAGACAUCUGCCAAUGAUGCCAUCGACAGCUUGAAUGGCAAGUUGGUGAAUGGCAAACGAAUUUUUGUAGGUCUCUUCAUUCGUUGUCAGGAGAGGCAGCCAAAUAUCAGCGUGAGUAAUUAUACAAAUGUAUAUGUGAAGAACUUGCCAAAGGAAUUCACUCACAAUGACCUUCUGCAAGAGUUUGGUCCUUUUGGUACAAUUACUAGUGUUGUAAUCAUGAGAGAUAAUGAUGGAAUAUCCAAAUGCUUCGGAUUCGUUAACUAUGGGGAAUCAGAAUGUGCUGCAGAAGCUGUGAAAAGUCUUAAUGGUAAGAUGAUGAUACAAUUUUGUAUGUUGGAAGAGCUCAGAAAAAGUCAGAAAGAGAAGCAGAACUGAAAGAAAACUUAGAGCGUGCAAGAAAUGAGAAAUUCAAAAAGUUUGAAGGGCUCAAUCUAUACGUGAAGAAUCUAGAUGAUAGUAUUAAUGAUCUAAAUCUUAGAGGGUUAUUUGAAUUUUUUGGUGAGAUAGGAUCAUGCAAGGUACUUCUCUAUUUAUUUGCUAGCUAAUUCUGUUUCUUAGUAUCAUGGCUCACCUUCUUAACAUUUUUUUUAGGUUAUGGUUGAUUCACAAGGAAGGAGCAAGGGUUAUGGCUUUGUGUCAUUUACAACCAUUGAAGCUGUCCACAAGGCCGUAAGUAACACGGUUUAGUUGAAUGCAAACAUGCCCAAUGCAUCCACUUGACUAGUUUAGAUUAUUAAAUCAUCUUUAAUCAAUGUGGUAGAUUGACGGGAUGAACAGGAAGAUAGUCGGCAAAAAGCCAUUGUAUGUUGGUGUAGCUCAACGCAAAGAGGAAAGACGAGCGAUGCUAGUGGUAAGUCUAGAUUGUUAUUUCCCAAGUGAUCAUUUUGUACAUUAGGUGCCUUUUGCUGAUAAGUGAUAAGUAGAGACUUCUUUUAAUUAAUCUUAUAUGCUGAUAAGUGCUGUUUGAGUUUUGAUAUUGCUAUGUGUCCAUGCCUACUACAUGUCCAAUUAUUUACGUAUUAUUUGUUUCAUUUUUACACAUAACUGACUAACUAAAAGGAAACCUAUUCAGUUAUAAAUAACUUGUAUAUUGUCCCAUCCUAAGAAUAACAUAGACUGAGAAUCAAUGUGGAUGAGUGUUAACAAAAUGGUUAUUUUUUUACCGUCCAAAUAAAGUUAAGUAAAACAAGUUCUCUCUUGUCACCUGUGUGUCACUGAAUAUUUGAACAUUAGAUCUGUCACUGUUUCAAGAAUAUAUACAAGGGACGACACAUCACAAGCUUAAUGCUACUGACAUUGUUUCUAGGCACACUUUGCUCGUAUUCAGAACGCAGGAGUUCUAGCACCCGCAGUACCACAAAAUUUUGCUCCCCGUCAGUUCUACGUCGGUCCAGGAGUGCCUGGCAUGUUCCCACCACAGGUUGCUGCAGGCUUCGGGUAUCAGCAAUUCCCACAACAGCAUUUCACUCCUUGGGUUCCUAGCGGCAUGACGCCAUAUACGUAUAACAUGUCGAGGCCACUGCACCAUGCUUGGCGUGGUGUGCAUCCAGAAAUCAAUCUACAACCACAGUUAUUAUGGCACGAGACAUGCCAUUUUUUGAUUUAAUUUUUUAAUACUUAAUGCAUCAGUUGGUCUUGCAAAGUGUAUCCAGCCGUGCCCAUAUUCAGAUUAUGUCACAAGUAGUCAAUUCACCUGACUUUCUUGCUUUUACAAUGCAGAUGGUGUACCCAAAUGCCAACCAAGCCUUCACAUACAUGCCAAAUUCUAUGAAUGUGAAUGCCAACGCUGUGAUGGUUCCCCCGGGCUUCGUGCAAACUGAUAGUACUGUCUCUACUCCAUCUGUUCCAAGCAAGGACACCACCACCACUGCUAUAGUUUCUUCUGACCCGGAGAAACAACAUCUCGUAAGGACAACGGAAUUAUAUUAGGACGUGCUAUUUUCACAGUUACAAAUUUUACUUGGCAUGCAUGAUUAUAUAUUAGCCAUUUAUGUCAAUGAAGGGUGGAUUUUAAGUUUGGUCGAAUAUUUUGUUUACCUUGCAGAUUCAAGAUGAGAAAUUGUACCCACUGGCUGAACAGCUUGAGCCAGAAUUAGGAGGGAAGGUGACAGGGAUGCUGGGUGAAGCAAUGGAAGCUCUGCAAGGAAGGAAAGUGGAAGAGGCCAGCGGUACUGUUGACCUCGUGUCCGUACCAUCAUCCUCGACCUCGAGUGUUACCAGAGAUGCUAUUGACCCCGCUUCCACAGCAUCGUCCUCGAGUGCUUCCGUUGACGGUGCUAACCUUGCUCCGGCACCUUCAUCCUCGAGUGCUUGAAUGCUGGUUCCUAAUAUCUCUAUCUCGACUUGAAAUUUAGAUGGUUGGAUAAUGUUUAAGAAGAUUCCUGAUUUGAUGUUGCUUCAUGAUAUUUUCGGUCAGAGUUUUAUUCUUGUUUGUUUGUUCUUAAGUUAAAGUGCAUCUGCAUUUCCCCCAGUAUUUAGGAUAACUUCAAAUAAAAAAUUAGACAGUGUCUUCU
rnacentral:lncRNA from 1 species